UGCACUGUAUGGUGUCAGUAGUCAAUACUUUAUUCCUGGUGACGUGUUCAAAAGAGAGUGUGACAGAUAUUCAGUAUCUCUUUACAGUAUCACUGGAUUUCUUGGCUUUGUGCAUGUUAAACCUGGCAUUUCUAUUGAUACAUUA
rnacentral:snoRNA from 1 species